rnacentral:rRNA from 1 species
UACGUAGGGUGCGAGCGUUAAUCGGAAUUACUGGGCGUAAAGCGCGCGUAGGCGGUUUUGCAAGCCAGAGGUGAAAUGCCUGAGCUCAACUCAGGAAUGGCCUUUGGGACUGCGAGGCUUUGAGGACUGGAGAGGUGAGUGGAAUUCCCAGUGUAGAGGUGAAAUUCGUAGAUAUUGGGAAGAACACCGGUGGCGAAGGCGGCUCACUGGCCAGUUUCUGACGCUGAGGCGCGAAAGCUAGGGGAGCAAACGGG